rnacentral:rRNA from 1 species
AGAGUUUGAUCCUGGCUCAGAAUCAACGCUGGCGGCGCGCUUAACACAUGCAAGUCGCACGAGAAAGGGGGCAACCCUGAGUACAGUGGCGUACGGGUGAGUAACACGUGGAUUAUCUACCUUUUAGUGGGGAAUACCCCUGGGAAACCGGGGACAAUACCGCAUAAGCCCGCAAGGGGAAAGCAGCAAUGCGCUGAAAGAGGAGUCCGCGGCUGAUUAGCUAGUUGGCGGGGUAAUGGCCCACCAAGGCGAAGAUCGGUAGCCGGCCUGAGAGGGCACACGGCCACACUGGCACUGAAAUACGGGCCAGACUCCUACGGGAGGCAGCAGUGGGGAAUCUUGCACAAUGGAGGCAACUCUGAUGCAGCGACGCCGCGUGAGCGAUGAAGCCCUUCGGGGUGUAAAGCUCUUUCGACGGGAACGAUAAUGACGGUACCCGAGAAGAG